AGUAGUCACCCAAAAGGACAAGGAGAAGAUGAGAGACAUGGAGAAGAGGAGAUACAUGAGGUUGUUACUCCCACACAUGCGGACUCGAGGGAGGUUGAUAAUCCAACACCCCAUGAAUUUCCAGAUUUAGAGGUAGAGACCGAGUGUAC